GGGCGAAUGGUCUAGGGGUAUGAUAUUUGCUUUGCAUAUAAAUCUGUCAUCAUUCAAAGGAUUCAGAUCUCUUGUGCUUGCAAAGGGUCCGGGGUUCAAAUCCCCGUUCGUCCA